UGUUGGACAAUUCCCAGCUCUUGGUGUCACCCCACGUUGGAUGAUUCCCGGCUCCGGUGUCCCCAGUGUUGGACAAUUCCCAGCUCUUGGUGUCACCCCACGUUGGAUGAUUCCCGGCUCCGGUGUCCCCAGUGUUGGACAAUUCCCAGCUCUUGGUGUCACCCCACGUUGGAUGAUUCCCGGCUCCGGUGUCCCCAGUGUUGGACAAUUCCCAGCUCUUGGUGUCACCCCACGUUGGAUGAUUCCCGGCUCCGGUGUCCCCAGUGUUGGACAAUUCCCAGCUCUUGGUGUCACCCCACGUUGGAUGAUUCCCGGCUCCGGUGUCCCCAGUGUUGGACAAUUCCCAGCUCUUGGUGUCACCCCACGUUGGAUGAUUCCCGGCUCCGGUGUCCCCAGUGUUGGACAAUUCCCAGCUCUUGGUGUCACCCCACGUUGGAUGAUUCCCGGCUCCGGUGUCCCCAGUGUUGGACAAUUCCCAGCUCUUGGUGUCACCCCACGUUGGAUGAUUCCCGGCUCCGGUGUCCUCAGUGUUGGACAAUUCCCAGCUCUUGGUGUCACCCCACGUUGGAUGAUUCCCGGCUCCGGUGUCCCCAGUGUUGGACAAUUCCCGGCUCCUGGUGUCACCUCAGUUCAGACGAUUCCCGGCUCCAAUGUCCCCAGAGUUGGACAAUCCACAGCUCUUGCUGCGGUCACCCCAGGGUUGGACAUUCCCCAGCUCUGAUGUCACCCCAGGUUGGAUGUUUCCCAGCUCCGGUGUCACCCCAGGUCAGACAUUUUCCAGCUCCAAUGUCCCCAACAUCAGACUUUUCUCAGCUCCGAUGUCACCCCAGGUCGGAUGUUUCCCAGCUUUUGGGGACCCCCAGGACGAACGUUUCCCAGCUCCGGAUGGCCUCAACAUGAGAUGUUUCCCUGCUCCAGGAGACCCCCAAGGUCAGACGUUUCCUGGUUUCGACGUUGCCCCGAAGUCGGACGUUUCCCAGCUCCCACGUUCCUCAACACGUGUUGGAUGUUUCCCGGCUCUGAUGUCCCCCAACAUCAGAUGUUUCCUGCCUCCGACGUCCCCCCAGGUCAGACAUUUGCUGUCGCCGCUGCUGUCCUUGUUCAUUGGCUCCGGUGUCCCCCCAGGUCGGACAGUUGUUGGCUCUGACAUCCGCUUCGGUGUUGGUCAGCUCCUAUGUCCCCCACGUUGGACGUUUGCCGGCGCCGGCGCUUUUGGUGUUUGCCAGUUCCAGUAUCGGCUGCUUUUGGUGUCCACCAGCCCCAAUAUCUGCCACGUUUGGUGUCCACCAGCUCCAGGAGCCGCAGGUCGGACACUUCCCAUCCCCACCACCCCAUUUGCCGUCCAUCCGUCCCGUUUUCCAUCUCUGUCUGCCAACUUCAACGUCUCCCAGCUUAGACAUUUCCCAGUGCCGAAAAUCACCAGUUUUGGUGCUCGCUUGCUCUGAUACCUGCUGGUUUUGGUGUCUGCUGGCUCCGGCCCCCACAGGUCGGACAUUUCGUGGCUCUCAACUUCCCCCAGGUCAGACAUUUUCCAGUGCCAAAACCCACCAGUUUUGGGGUCCACCAGCUCCAACAUCUACCAGUUUCAGCGUCCACCAGCUCCAACACCCGCAGGUCGGACAUUUCCCAUCUCCACCGCCCGCCGGCUUCAACGUUCUCCAGGUCGGACGUUUUCCAGUGCUGAAAAUCGCCAAUUUUGGUGUUUGACAGCACCAACGUCUGCUGGUUUUGGUGCCCACCAGCUCCAACACCCGCAGGUCGGACGUUUCCCCGUCUCCGCUGCCCACUGGCUUCCAACGUCCCCCACGUCAGGCACUUUCCAGUGCCGAAAACCACCGCUUUUGGUGUUUGCUGGCUCCAUCUCCUACAGGUUGGACGUCCCACAGCUUGGACGUCCACUGGCUUCAACGUCCCCCAGGUCCAACAAUUCUCCCAUAAUCAGAGCCCUAUGGGUGCUCCUGCCCCAUAACCAGACACCUAUGGGUUCUUCCAGCCCAUAACUGGACCCUUACGGGUGCUCCCACCCCAUAACU
ensembl:lncRNA